UUCAGGUGGGAGGGAAAUAUAAGAGAAAAUUGUGAAUAUUUAAUAGAUUUCUUCAUCAUCUGACUCUCAGGCUUCUGCAUGACAUGAAAGCCAUAUUGUGACUUUUUGCUUUUAAUUUUGUAUACGUGGUGGUUUUCUCCUUGAAAAAGAAUGAAUGAAAAAACAAAGCUGUGUGGGCCACGUUCAUUAGCGUUUCAUUGUUCGAGUGUUACUUUAUAAUUGUACCAGUAGGUUGUGGUGAUAAUUUUCAGAAACAAAAGUUCUGAACUGGUGGACCAAAAUUUUUCCUGUGUCUUUCAUUUUUGGGAUUAUAGGUCUUGCUCGCAUGUUAUGUUUCAACAAGAAGGAACAUGUCAGAGAUAACGACCUUU
rnacentral:lncRNA from 1 species